CCGCUCCCCGCCACGGCGGAAAGUUUCCCAGAGCCUGGCGGAAGGGGGUUAAGUCGGAGGGAGGCGCAGGUGGAAUUGAUGCGGAGGAGGGCUGCCGCGGCUAGUCGGGCUGCCUCUGCCCGGGGGCUCCCCACCCUUCUGGGGCAGGGCUGUGGAGCCCGGAGAGCCUCCUUCAGCGAGGACUAACACCUGUCUCCUUCCCUAUGGGUCCCUGCAGAGGAUAAACGAGCUGACGCAUGGUCUUCUUACUGACUUCAGAACUAAAAGUAACACAGCAAAUACUGUGGAGAGGGAGUAAAAGCUGUAAGAUACUCUAUGGAUAUGCACUGGCUUCUUCUGCACAUGUGUAGAAGAAGGUCCAGCUAGCAAGUCAGAACCGAGGAAGCUGUGGAAGAAGAUUGCUCAGAGAAGCAGAAGGGAUAUAGUAUAUUCAUCUGGAGUUGUUACUAGAAGCCAGAUCCAUCCAGGAUUGAAAGGAUGAUGGGGACAUAAUUCAACAGAUUCAUUUGGAACAGCUGUCAUUCUUCUAGCUGACAGAGGGACCAGAAAAAAAGACUGGAAUACUAUGAGUAGAUCUAAGUCCUUUCUACUUAUGUGGAUGCUCAGUAUUCUUCUCCUGGCCUCAUCAGAGGUGAUCAACAUAUAGUCUCAACAACCACGGCUAGGAAGUGCGAUUAAGGUACCAUAAUUUCCCUUUUAAUAUGGGCAUGCUUUGGGUGAAAUUGAUUUCCAAAAUAUUCUUCCCAAUAAUCCGUUUA